rnacentral:sRNA from 1 species
GCUGGGCGUGGUGGCUCACACCUGUAAUCCCAAAUACUUGGGAGGCUGAGGCAGGAGGAUCUCAAGUUCAAGGUCAGUCUGAGCAAUUCAACAUGACCCUGUUUCGA